CACCGAGCUGGUGGGAGCCCUGCUGAGGAAAUCCUGGAACAGAAGAUCAGCACAAUGGGGAUGUCACGUAGCUUGAAGCAGCCGUGUAGUGAAGAGCAGAGGCUGCCCAGGACAGCCGUGGGUAGGACAUGAAAUGCACAAGCUGCCUUUCAGCUCGUGCAUCCCAGUGUCUGACCUGGUGUGAAUUACUGGCACAGAGAGGUUUCUGUGGUAAUCUAACACAAAUUGAGGCCACAUUACAAAAUGCAACAUUGCAAACUCGUUAUCUUAACUUCCUGUGCUUUCUCAUUUGCAGGAGAAGCGAGCUGUCCUGCCCCAGAAAAGUUAUGUAGAAUUAUUUGUGGUUGUGGAUCACAACAGGUUUUUGAUGAAGAAUUCUGAUCCUGCUGCAGUGCAAAAGGAAACAGUGGAGCUGAUUAAUUAUGUUGAUGGGAUGUAUAGAGCAUUAAACAUCCAGAUUGUUUUGGUUGGAUUAGAGAUUUGGACAG